CUUCUUCUAACCAACAUCUCUGCAGGACAUGAGUCAGUCUAUUUCAUGCAAUUUUGUAUAGAAAGUAUAAAACUUGUAUAAAAGUCAUUGUCAUUUACUACCUGUAGGGGGCAGCAGUGUGAUGUAUAAACAUCUCCUGGCUAACCCAUUUUUAUAGUAAAAUCCUAAAAACUGACCCAAAGUAAGUCAAUUUUACUUACUAUUUACACCCUGCGUUAGUUUAAUGAUUUUUUAUUUUAUUUUGUAAGUGAAUAUGAUUAAAAUAUUAAACAGGGGGGGUAUCUGAUCAGUUAGUUUGCAGAUUUGUUUUCAUGAGGACUAUUGUUACUAAAGUAUUUCUACUGGGAAACGUUGGCUCUGUUUAGAGUCGUUUCUGUUUCUGGCCUCUAGGGGGCAGCGUUUGGUCCCACAUCACAAUUUUUGGUCGCUUCAAACCUUUUUCUGACAGAUUUGGUCGCAUUUUAAGCAGCUUUCCAGAGAUCCGGGGCUGUGCAGAACAUAAACGCAGAGUUACGACUGCAAUCAAAACACCCACUCAGAUGAUUUGUGAAGGCCGACUGGAGUAGAGAAGACAUGAAAUUCUUCUUUCGCCACGCUAACACAAACAGGCCAGAAAGAUGGCUCUGACCUGCACGGGACAUUUUGGCUGCUCAAAGUCGGUUUUUGUCCCUGUGAAGUCACUUUGUAUGUCGCUGAUGUCUCCAGGUCAACAUCGUGAGCCUGUUUUGAUCAUUUGUGUUAUGAUGCAUCUACAUUUUAUUCAUUGUUGUGUU